UAUUUCUCGGUUACGGUCGUACUUCACGUUUAUGAUCUAAUUUAUUAAUCAAUGAGAGCACACACUGCACAGGAACUGUAUGAAGUGCACUCUAUAUAUUAAUAGGAUCAAACGCUCAACUGCCAACUGUUUCCAACUUUAUUUGCAAUACAGGCUGUAUCACAUUGCUCACUACAGAGUAUCGUAGAAAGUUUUUGGCUUGUCAUCUACUUCAGCACACUACUUCUACUUCACUUCUCUCUCCGUUUACAGACUCAACGUGAAAGCUAGCAGUUUUGAAGAUAACUUCCUGGAGACUUAUGCACCUUUAAUAUUAGGUGCUGCCAAAAAUGGAAACAUUUCUAUUCCGGAAACAGAAGAUGAAUGCCUGAAGCUGUUAAUUGUGUUGCUGAAAUUAGUUCCCAAUUUACAAAGAAUUAGGAUAAUUUCUAAGGUUGAAAUAGUCGAACGCGUCAUUUGUUUCAUCAAGCCUAACGAUGAUAUUUUGCAAAUCAUCAAAGAACAGAAGACCCAUCUCAAUCAGUCACCUUUCAUCUGCUGUGUGGGUACUCUUCAAAACCCUGCAAGCUUUUCUGUAGUCUGCGAAGGAGAAGUCAUCGAAGCUGGGCACAAUUCCACUGACGCUUUCAAGACUCUAUAUGCGUCGUUCCACAUGUUUAGGAUUCAAUAUCCGUCUCUCUUAUCAACAUUUUUUUUAUUUUUUCGACCCAUUCAUUUUUCAUGUUCACCCAGGGAAGAUAAGGCCUAGUGUUGACGACUUACAUGUCCAGCUAAGAGCGGGAUUGGGAUCUGCAUAAUAUGUAUUAUGCUAUCUUUCUAUGUUAUCAACAGAAACCUUUUCGCGAUAACAUUUCAGAGUGAGUGUAUUAUGUUUUUAACAUUUAACUCGUUCUUUUACUUACACUCAAUUUGUUUGACGUCCUAUGUGUUAUAACUAACCAAGUUUU